GCAGAAUCCAACAAUUAAGGACAAAAGAAAUUUCGUUAGUGAGAGUUCAAUGGAGGAACCAUAAUGUCGAAGAAUCAACUUGGGAAAAAGAAGAGGAAAUCAAGACCAAGUAUCCAGAACUUUUCAACUAAGUUCAAGGUAAUUUCGAGGACGAAAUUUUUUUUAAGGGAGGAGGGAUGUAAUACUCUGAAAUUUUAUGCUCGUUUAAAUUUU
rnacentral:lncRNA from 1 species